rnacentral:rRNA from 1 species
CCUACGGGAGGCAGCAGUAGGGAAUCUUCCACAAUGGGCGAAAGCCUGAUGGAGCAACGCCGCGUGGGUGAAGAAGGUCUUCGGAUCGUAAAACCCUGUUGUUAGAGAAGAAAGUGCGUGAGAGUAACUGUUCACGUUUCGACGGUAUCUAACCAGAAAGCCACGGCUAACUACGUGCCAGCAGCCGCGGUAAUACGUAGGUGGCAAGCGUUAUCCGGAUUUAUUGGGUUUAAAGGGAACGAAGGCGGUCUUUUAAGUCUGAUGGGAAAGCCUUCGGCUUAACCGGAGUAGUGCAUUGGAUACUGGCAGUCUUGAGUGCAGAAGAGGAAGGCGGAACUCGAGGUGUAGCGGUGAAAUGCUUAGAUAUAUGGAAGAACUCCAGUGGCGAAGGCAGCUUACUAGUCUGUCACGGACAUUGAGGUUCGAAAGUGUGGGUAGCAAACAGGAUUAGAUACCCGAGUAGUC